AAGGACCCAAUUCAUCUAAUAAAUCAAGCCGGGAGUGAUUCUGGGCCGUCGGAUCACGAUCUGGGUGAAGCGCUACUGUUGGAUCGCGCUGCAGAGAUGGGAUCAGGUCGGAUGCAUCGCGGACCAUCCGAUCAAGGCGCUGGAAGAUUUUGUCCGUUGGAUCGCGCUGCAGAAGGAUCCCGUGUUGUCCUAGUGUUUAUUGAUUCUUG
rnacentral:lncRNA from 1 species